rnacentral:rRNA from 1 species
GGGACACGUGGUAUCCUGUCUGAAUAUGGGGGGACCAUCCUCCAAGGCUAAAUACUCCUGACUGACCGAUAGUGAACCAGUACCGUGAGGGAAAGGCGAAAAGAACCCCGGCGAGGGGAGUGAAAAAGAACCUGAAACCGUGUACGUACAAGCAGUGGGAGCCUCUUAAUGGGGUGACUGCGUACCUUUUGUAUAAUGGGUCAGCGACUUAUAUUCUGUAGCAAGGUUAACCGAAUAGGGGAGCCGAAGGGAAACCGAGUCUUAACUGGGCGUUAAGUUGCAGGGUAUAGACCCGAAACCCGGUGAUCUAGCCAUGGGCAGGUUGAAGGUUGGGUAACACUAACUGGAGGACCGAACCGACUAAUGUUGAAAAAUUAGCGGAUGACUUGUGGCUGGGGGUGAAAGGCCAAUCAAACCGGGAGAUAGCUGGUUCUCCCCGAAAGCUAUUUAGGUAGCGCCUCGUGAAUUCAUCUCCGGGGGUAGAGCACUGUUUCGGCAAGGGGGUCAUCCCGACUUACCAACCCGAUGCAAACUGCGAAUACCGGAGAAUGUUAUCACGGGAGACACACGGCGGGUGCUAACGUCCGUCGUGAAGAGGGAAACAACCCAGACCGCCAGCUAAGGUCCCAAAGUCAUGGUUAAGUGGGAAACGAUGUGGGAAGGCCCAGACAGCCAGGAUGUUGGCUUAGAAGCAGCCAUCAUUUAAAGAAAGCGUAAUAGCUCACUGGUCGAGUCGGCCUGCGCGGAAGAUGUAACGGGGCUAAACCAUGCACCGAAGCUGCGGCAGCGACACUAUGUGUUGUUGGGUAGGGGAGCGUUCUGUAAGCCUGUGAAGGUGUGCUGUGAGGCAUGCUGGAGGUAUCAGAAGUGCGAAUGCUGACAUAAGUAACGAUAAAGCGGGUGAAAAGCCCGCUCGCCGGAAGACCAAGGGUUCCUGUCCAACGUUAAUCGGGGCAGGGUGAGUCGACCCCUAAGGCGAGGCCGAAAGGCGUAGUCGAUGGGAAACAGGUUAAUAUUCCUGUACUUGGUGUUACUGCGAAGGGGGGACGGAGAAGGCUAUGUUGGCCGGGCGACGGUUGUCCCGGUUUAAGCGUGUAGGCUGGUUUUCCAGGCAAAUCCGGAAAACCAAGGCUGAGGCGUGAUGACGAGGCACUACGGUGCUGAAGUGACAAAUGCCCUGCUUCCAGGAAAAGCCUCUAAGCAUCAGGUAACAUCAAAUCGUACCCCAAACCGACACAGGUGGUCAGGUAGAGAAUACCAAGGCGCUUGAGAGAACUCGGGUGAAGGAACUAGGCAAAAUGGUGCCGUAACUUCGGGAGAAGGCACGCUGAUAUGUAGGUGAAGCGACUUGCUCGUGGAGCUGAAAUCAGUCGAAGAUACCAGCUGGCUGCAACUGUUUAUUAAAAACACAGCACUGUGCAAACACGAAAGUGGACGUAUACGGUGUGACGCCUGCCCGGUGCCGGAAGGUUAAUUGAUGGGGUUAGCGGCAACGCGAAGCUCUUGAUCGAAGCCCCGGUAAACGGCGGCCGUAACUAUAACGGUCCUAAGGUAGCGAAAUUCCUUGUCGGGUAAGUUCCGACCUGCACGAAUGGCGUAAUGAUGGCCAGGCUGUCUCCACCCGAGACUCAGUGAAAUUGAACUCGCUGUGAAGAUGCAGUGUACCCGCGGCAAGACGGAAAGACCCCGUGAACCUUUACUAUAGCUUGACACUGAACAUUGAGCCUUGAUGUGUAGGAUAGGUGGGAGGCUUUGAAGUGUGGACGCCAGUCUGCAUGGAGCCGACCUUGAAAUACCACCCUUUAAUGUUUGAUGUUCUAACGUUGGCCCCUGAUCGGGGUUGCGGACAGUGUCUGGUGGGUAGUUUGACUGGGGCGGUCUCCUCCUAAAGAGUAACGGAGGAGCACGAAGGUUGGCUAAUCCUGGUCGGACAUCAGGAGGUUAGUGCAAUGGCAUAAGCCAGCUUGACUGCGAGCGUGACGGCGCGAGCAGGUGCGAAAGCAGGUCAUAGUGAUCCGGUGGUUCUGAAUGGAAGGGCCAUCGCUCAACGGAUAAAAGGUACUCCGGGGAUAACAGGCUGAUACCGCCCAAGAGUUCAUAUCGACGGCGGUGUUUGGCACCUCGAUGUCGGCUCAUCACAUCCUGGGGCUGAAGUAGGUCCCAAGGGUAUGGCUGUUCGCCAUUUAAAGUGGUACGCGAGCUGGGUUUAGAACGUCGUGAGACAGUUCGGUCCCUAUCUGCCGUGGGCGCUGGAGAACUGAGGGGGGCUGCUCCUAGUACGAGAGGACCGGAGUGGACGCAUCACUGGUGUUCGGGUUGUCAUGCCAAUGGCACUGCCCGGUAGCUAAAUGCGGAAGAGAUAAGUGCUGAAAGCAUCUAAGCACGAAACUUGCCCCGAGAUGAGUUCUCCCUGACUCCUUGAGAGUCCUGAAGGAACGUUGAAGACGACGACGUUGAUAGGCCGGGUGUGUAAGCGCAGCGAUGCGUUGAGCUAACCGGUACUAAUGAACCGUGAGGCUUAACCUU